AGCCUGUCACACGCCUUGUUUCCAUGGCAGUCCUUCAGGCAGCACCACAGGCACUGUUUGUGUCCGCGUGUGUGUGCGGACCCACAUACAACCUGUUUUUCCUCUCCAUGCAGACGUCGGUGUGAUGUUGAGCCCCAGGGCGGGCGUCAAACUAAGCAGAGAGAGAAGGCUUCUUGUCUUGCAUGAAAAAUGUCUUCAUUUGAACGGACACAAUCAAGAUUCGCCGCAUCCUCGCUCACGGUUGCGCGUCCGCUGCCGUUCUUGUACUGGGACAAAAAUAGUCAAAGUGGACCUGAAUACUUCUCUGUGAAUAUUAGCUUGCAAAGAAAAAACAAUCUAUAGAACUCGUGCACCUACGUCACCGAAAUCACGUGACUGGCCAUAUUGCCGGUCUAGCAAAGCAUUCUUCAAUGCUAAGUCGGUUGGAGACGACGCGAGAAUACGUCCUAUAACACGACGCCCAGAGUUUUGUCCGAUACUGUUAAACAUUUAGACGCUGAUAAUAAAUGAAGGUACGUGGAAAAAUGAGAGACGCUUGGCAUAGAGGAGCCAUAUUUAAUGCCGAAGUCGAUGUUUUCGCCGAUUAGAAAGUGGACUGUGAACACGCUUUCGCUUGUCUUGGACAACUGGAUCUACGCAUGUAUCUGGUGAGUAAGUCGUUGAGAUUUACACGGAAAAGUCUGAAAGCGUAGAAAAGUCUGGACGCAUACAAAUACUUUGUUGCGGGCUCUGUUCUCAAUCAACAAUAAAUCCCACAGAGUGAUGGAGCCACUCAGAUUUUUUUUUUUUAAAUAAAUGACCCCUGUUUUUACAUCAACUCGCAUUCAUUAACUGUGAUUGGGAAAAAAAAAGACAGUGAGUCGGCUCCUCCGUACACAAAGCGCGUUGCGGCCACAGGUUUAAACUUUGGUAAACUUUUCCGUGACAGACGUGUUUUUUUCUAAAUAUGUAUUGUUCUCAAAUGACUCCAAUGCGUAUUUAAAAAAAGAAAAUAAACUGCUGGGAUAGGCUUCAGCUCCCAUACACGGAUGCGUGUUGCAGCCACACGUUGAACUUUGGUAAACCUCUGUGUGACCGACGGUUUAUUUUUGUGAACGAUGCAUAUUUAAAAAACAAAACAAAACAAAACAAAACUUCCGUUUGGGGAUAGGUUUACCGAAGUUUAACGUGUGGCCCCAAGACACUUCCGUGUACGUUGGAGACAACUCCCUGUCGUUUAUUUAUUUUUUUUUUAAAAACGCAUUGUUCUCAAAUGAGCCAACUUGGCAUUAUAAAUACUUCUUGGGAAUUUGAGAUUGAGAACAAUAAUUCCGAUCAGUGAAGUGAUUGCUACACAGUCGUGUGUAUUUGGUUGGGCACCGUCCAUCACGGUUAAUUGCCGAAAUCAUUCGAUGUUUUCUCGUCUUCUCAGCUGGUAUUCUAUAUAAUGACCUCUUUGAACAUCUGUCUUGUCUGUUGUAACAACCAACAGCACAACAAGUCUCGGGCAUUGCGAAUAUUCUGCUUCAGUUCAAUGUCCCCCACACUGUCGAGCAGCUCUUUUGGACCGGCAAUACGGCGACGUGAAAAUGGUGACGUCACGUGCACGAGCUCUAUAGAAAAUGGCUGGAUAUGAUGAAUAGCUUUCUAAAAUCAGCAUGAUUGGCAGAUUAAUUUUUUUUGUAUGGGAUGUCAAUGGCAGGUGCACUGUUUUGUGUCUGGGACACUCGAGGGCCAAGCAGAGGGAACAAAAGAGGACAAAUGGUGACUAAUAGCAGUUUAUGCCGCUGUUGCAACACCAUAAUUCUUCCAAGACAACGACGGCCUAUUAGCACCCGUAUGAAAUCAUUGGCCUUUAAAAGCACUCCUCCGAGGGCCCCUGCUCAUUAAUAAAUUGAACCGAUUUCGCUUUAAUAUUAUUCCCAGCGCAUUCCAAGGAAGACAACAGCUGGGCUGGUCCCGGGAGCGUCGGAUCUGGGAUCAGAGGUUCGCCGGGCCCAGAAAUCCGAGAACCACAAGUGGUUUACUUAAAGACGAGGUCACGUGGGGCGCAACUUGUCAGUCCCGUGGAAUCAAAACGGCAACCGUCGCUGCAUGUAAAUGCGCCGACUGACUGUCAGGAAACAGUUGCCAAAAUACCUGAAAAAUCAGCCGAAGUACAGUAACAAAGUAUUUGCACUUGGUUACUUCCGACCACUGACAGUGACAUAAUGCAUUGUGGCUGUCCGCCAUUUUCCAUUUUAAUCCAUCUUUUAUUUUUUUUGCAUGAUGAAUCGGCGCCGACGGUAAGUCUGGCCGCACGGCCCAAGGGAAUCGGGUAUCAUUAGAGACGCGUUCGCGUCCGCUUAUUGUCUGGACGUGCACGAGCGUUCAAUAUUAAUAGACUUUCAACAAGGACACAAUUAGGACGCCUCCGUUUGACACCUUGUGCGGGCCGGAGAUGAAUAUGGAUACGCCGGCUCCCGAGGAAGUUGCACGUUGAGCAGAAUUAACAGCUCAGCAGCAGGAAGGAAGCGCAAACAUGACAGUCGGGACCUGAUUUACGCACAAGACUAAAAGUGCAUUAUUGUUAGUGGUUGUACAAGACACAUUUGUAACUCACAGCUGGGGGGCCCUUGUAUAAUUUUACAUAUUUGCAUCUUGGGCAGUGAUUAAAAAUAGCCCGCUGUAGCGAAACGUUGCAAAGGAAGUUCCUGUCAACUCUUGACUCCUGGAUCAGCGGGAAGGUUCAACAUCAAGUAAUUUUGGGUUUAUUUUCAGUAAAGAGUUUUAUUCGAUUUGCGUUGCGAUUGUGCAAUGCAGUCCAUAGUUUUGGGGUUUGAAAUCUGUGCCUGGUUGAGUUUUAUUUGUCUUCCUGUCACAUUCCAAAAACAUAACUUUAUUUAUUUAUUUUUUUCAGGCCGGGAAGUGGGAUUCACUCUGGCCUGGUUGCCAGGCAAUUGCAGAUCACAUACAGACAAACACACUGACAUUCUCACCUAUAUACAAUUUACAAGUGUGCCUUUAAUUAGGUUUUUACAGUUUUGUUUAUUACUAUAUGUGAGAAAUUGUUUCUAUGCAGAGGGGAAAAAUGAUACGCAGGUGCACAUGCGCAAUGAAAAGGAUUAAGCCACACUGUAUUUAAUUGUAUCAGCAAACAUUUUGUUUUGUUUACCGUGGGAGCGGCGGACUAGUAUCAAGUGUUGUCUUGAUUUCAGAACAACCCAGUGAAACGAAAAUUAUGGGCACUCGAGUUUGACUGCAGUUGCCAGUUUUAGGACUUGGAGCUUGCUAAUGCAAGACUCAACUUGUGGACCGGGAAGCUGGCAACCUCGCCGACGGCUGAGCCACGACAUCUGGGGACUAUCACGGACGGAGCGCCAAAGUUUAUUACAUUUGGAUUCACGGUUGAGCUUUUUGGUGAACUAAAGACAAGAACAACGCGCAAAGUUUGCAAGUCAAAGAUAAAAGAAGCAACAUCGACGGGGUUUGCUUUCCUCUGUCAGACACAGAAUGAGAAUGGCCGAGCUUGAAGGAGGCAUCAGAUGCAGGUGGAGGUGGGCCUGGCUCAAGUUGGAGGUCAAAAGAAAAAAAGAAAUUAGCAGCCUGCCGGGCAGCACUGAGCUCCACUGCAAGACAGGCAGCGUAAUUAAAAGUGAGAGGAAGAGACAAAGAAGAUCGCCAAGUACUUGAAGAUUCACGCAUGAUCCUUGUUCUCAUACAACAGAGCGAAUAUACUGCAUGCCUAACUCCAUCCCUUCAAGUCCAUGUGUUGAAGACUUUGUCUUCUCCUUGUUGCUGAUGAGCUGACCACAUCCUCGGAAUACUUCACAAGGCAAAUAAUUGAACUCUUCAACGCGUCCCCUUGAUGGACCAAAAUUGCUCCUCCAGCCACCACUUCUGCUUCCUGGCUUUGUUCUCCAAAAGCAACAACACCAACCAAGCGCCCGCAAAUGAGGAGGCCUUUUGCGCAAAACACACCUCGUAGCAAUGAUAACACAUAAGAGCGGCGACGUUUGCUCGCUUGCAUUUACGUCCCCGGCCGGGCUGAUUUGCACCCAUUAGAGGCGGCCCUGGCGUGUUGUACAAAUAGUAAUAAAGAAGCCUUCAAAAGAGAUAUGUGAUCUUAAAAGAGUUGUUUUAUCCUGGCACGCCAUGACUGAUGCCACCAUCACCAGUUAGCAGCAAUCAAGGCGGUAAAAAUGGCUGAGAGAGGAAGGAGAGGACGGAUCUUUAUUUUUUUGGUCAAUAGGUGGCAGUGUGCACCCACAAAAUGUGUCGUAAAGGACGCCUUGAGGGCUGUUCAGUGGAUUUAAUUAGACAGAACCAGAUACUCACAUGUUCAUUUCUCUGCAGCCUUUCUGUUGAGGAGGGGGGUGGGGGGUGGAAAAAAAAAUACACUUUACGCUCCAACGGCAACUGCACAUACGCUCGGUGAAAAAGGCCAAGUGUUGAGACCCAGCUUCACACCUUCCGGAGGCAACCAUUACUGCAGGUAGAGCUGUCAGAAUAGGAGGAUAACUGCUAAAAUAUGACAAAAAGUGUGUGUUGGUGUGGGGAAUAAGUAUUUAAAAAGUCAGUGUUGAAGACCAAAACUAUGGAACUUAAAAGAAACAACAACAAAAAACUGGGCCAGCACUCCCCGCGAUCCUUGUGAGGUUAAGCGGCUUGGAAAAUGAACGGAUGGCAUGUGAACACCCACAAUAAGUCACGUUUUCAUCACGUUGCAACAUUUA